rnacentral:tRNA from 1 species
GGUUUAGUAGUAUAAACAAAUACAACAAAUUGCAACUUUGAAAAUAUGUUCUCAUCAAAUCCU